rnacentral:rRNA from 1 species
AUGGAGCGCACGCGAGGGCAUCGGCGGCGAAAGCUCUCCGUCGCCGCCGGCGUCGGCGUUGGAGGUGGCGAGGACCGCCUCAGCGCGCUGCCGGACGACGUCCUCCUCCACAUCCUCCUCAAGCUCCGCGACGGCCCCGUCGCCGCUCGGACCAGCGUCCUCGCCCGCCGCUGGCGCCGCGUCUGGGCUCUCCUCCCGGAGCUCCAUUUCCCCGUCGGCACUGACCCCGACCGCAUCCGCGCCGCCCUGACCGCCCAUGAUGCGCUGGCCCUCCACCACCUCUUCGUUGCCGGCAUUGAGGUCACCCCCGAAAUCGCUGCGGCAUGGCUCCCCCUCGCCGCGCGCGGCCUCUCUGGUGUCCUGCAUUUCAAGAACACGGGGGCCAUGAAUGAGGCCCCUGCGGGGGAAAGAGGUACCUUGAAGUUGCCUUGCUUCGAGAAAGCAACCAAGGUCGUGCUCGAUCUACAUUCUAUUGGCCUCACCCUGCCGCCUUCCGGCGUAUUUACCCGGCUCACCGAUCUGGAGCUGGUUCGCAUACAGCUGCACGGUCCGUGCAGCCUCAGUGACGUUGUCUCUUCAUCACGGUGUCCAUCUCUGCGUCGCCUUUCCGUUUGCAGUGUCAGGGGUCUGGACAACUUCACAAUCCAGUCGGAAUCUCUCGUACAAUUGGAACUGCGGAAUUUGCAUACCUUGCAGCAGCUCAAUAUCGUUGCCCUGUCUCUGCAAAAAUUAAAAGUAUUCCUUUGCUUCACCGAUCCUCUGAAUCAAGCUCAACCAGUUGCCAACAUCUCAGCUCCUCAGCUGGUGACACUUGAUUGGAGGGGUGCUUAUGAUCCUAGCUCUGUUUUGUUUGGCGAGAUGCCAAAUCUCCAACAACUGACCACCAAUCCUCUUUGUGUAUAUGGAGGAGAUACAGUUUCUGCACGCAAUCAUCACAGCUUGAUGCUUUCACAACAUUUUCACCAUAUCAGCAAACUUAUUCUCAUCCUUUUCUAUCUGCCGGUCCAUGGCAACGAACGAUUCUUGAUGGAAGAGAUGACAAAGUUGCCUAACAUUACCAUCUUGGGACUGGUUGUAUUGGCAUGUGGACAUUCCUUUGGAGCCAGCUCAUUCCAUGUUCUCAAGAUGUCUAGCGGUAUAAGAGAGCUCACGCUUCAACUUGUUACUCGGAGGGACUCUAAGGCAUUUGUGUGCCAACCAGGUUGCAUUUGUGCUGAGCCAUCAAAUUGGGAAACUGAGGACCUCGUGCUACCUUGCCUCAAAGAAGUAGCAAUCAAUGGCCUGAGAGGAACUGAACAUGAACUCGCUCUUGUGGAAAGGUUAUUCAAGUGGGCGACAAUGUUAGAAAGGGUGACAGUAAUUUUCCAUGACUCAAUCUCUGAAAGCAACGGCGAAGAGUUCCGCCAGUUGUUACUAAGCUUCUCUAGGCCAGCAAUAUGUAUGAAAUUCUCGCAUGGUGGAGGAAGUUUAUCAUUUGACUAG